rnacentral:rRNA from 1 species
CCUACGUGUGGCAGCAGUGAGGAAUAUUGGUCAAUGGGCGCGAGCCUGAACCAGCCAAGUAGCGUGAAGGAUGACUGCCCUACGGGUUGUAAACUUCAUUUAUAAAGGAAUAAAGUGAGGCACGUGUGCCUUUUUGUAUGGACUUUAUGAAUAAGGAUCGGCUAACUCCGUGCCAGCAGCCGCGGUAAUACGGAGGAUCCGAGCGUUAUCCGGAUUUAUUGGGUUUAAAGGGAGCGUAGAUGGGUUGUUAAGUCAGUUGUGAAAGUUUGCGGCUCAACCGUAAAAUUGCAAGUGAUACUGGCAGUCUUGAGUACAGUUGAGGUAGGCGGAAUUCGUGGUGUAGCGGUGAAAUGCUUAGAUAUCACGAAGAACUCCGAUUGCGAAGGCAGCUUACUAAACUGCCACUGACAUUGAUGCUCGAAAGUGUGGGUAUCAAACAGGAUUAGAUACCCUUGUAGUC